rnacentral:rRNA from 1 species
UACGUAGGGGGCUAGCGUUGUCCGGAUUCAUUGGGCGUAAAGCGCGUGUAGGCGGUCCGGUAAGUCCGCUGUGAAAGUCGGGGGCUCAACCCUCGGAUGCCGGUGGAUACUGUCGGGCUUGAGUACGGAAGAGGCGAGUGGAAUUCCUGGUGUAGCGGUGAAAUGCGCAGAUAUCAGGAGGAACACCAAUUGCGAAGGCAGCUCGCUGGGACGUUACUGACGCUGAGACGCGAAAGCGUGGGGAGCAAACAGG